UCUUUUGCCACAAAAUUGAUCCUCUGUUAUGACGUAAUGAAGUAUAGAACCCUAUGCCAUUAAAUCAGGGAUUCUCUUUGUCCUAAGAUAGUAAUGCUUGCAGAGGCACUGCAGCAGGCAAAGAAGAUAAACCCCUAUCUGAGACUCCAGUUUCUUCAGCUUUGGCCCUCUUGGGCCUUCGAACACAGACUGAAGACUGCGCUGUUGGCUUCACGACUUUGGAGGUUUUGGAACUCCAACUGGCUUCCUUGUUCUUCAGCUUGCAGACGGCCUACUGUGGGACGUCACCUUGAGAUCGUUCUGUCUUCAAAAGAAAAGAUACGCCAUCUAAUCUCGAUGUAAGCUCUUAAUGUACCACAAAAAGCAAAUAAAUCCAAUGUCAUUCUUGAUUAAAUAAUCACCUUUUCAGGGCAAAGCCAAGAAGUGAUUUUCCCCCCUCCCUGCCACGGGAACUGUGACCUAAUUCUCAUUCCUAAUCACAGAAUCAAAGGAGAAAUUUAUUUCAAUGAGCUAGUCUGAAAGAGCUAUUUGCCAAAUGGCUUUCUUUCCAAUACUUAAUGAAAAGAUGCAUUUUGUACUACUUUCAAAAAGUGAUAUGGACAGGAGACGGAAAUACUGGGUAGAAAAGGGCAGUUCCCUGGCAAAGCCUCACCCUCAAGCCUGGAUACCUGCUGUCUUAAACGAAAACGAAAACAGGCAUUUCUGUGUUCAUGCUCCAAAAGUUAUCUUUUGGCCUGCCACACCCCCUAUCCUGCACCCAUAUGAAUCCCGAACCCCAGACUCCAGAAGCAGACCAGCAAGCCCGCAGACCAGCAGAAGGAUGGCAGAACGAUGUGGCAGAGAAAGGGAGAAGAGGAGGAACAUCUGAAUGCCAAAAUGAGUUCAGCUGGGGGCAGUCAGAGAGGAGUCCAGCCACUGGGCAGCCAGAAUCCAGGGGAGGAUCACCUUUCCACUUCAUCCCCUUCCUCUGCCUCCCCAUCCAUCCUGCUGAAAGCCACCUCCACCACUCAAUAAAACCUGCCAUUCAUCCUUGGAGUCCAUGUGUGACCUGAUUUUUCCAAGACACUGGACAAGAGCUCAGAUACAGAAAGCUAUCACCUUGGCCCUCUGCCCUUGUGAAAAGGCAGAGAGUUCAUUGAGCUGAUUAACACU
rnacentral:lncRNA from 1 species